UACGUGAAGUGUGAUCUGUCGCCUGUGAGCUUGUAAGAUUCAGAACCUCAGGUCCCAGCCCAGACCUACUAAACUAGAAUCUAGGUUUUAAUAAGACGCCAGGAUUCACAAGCAAAUCUACAACAUCCCUCUUCCGCUGUCAGUCCGAUUUCUUCUUCUGCUAUUCUGCCUCUCACUUACCCUCUCCCACCUUAUGUGACCUAUUUGCUGUUUCUUAAACACAUGCACACAUUCCUACCCCAGAGCAUUUGUUUUACCCUUUCUUCUGCCUGAAGAGCUGUUGCCUAAGGUAUUUGUAUGGCUGUGCUUUUACAGAAAAGUCAUCUUCGUAGUCUUUCCCUGGCCAACUCUGUAAAAUUUCACUCCCCCUACGUCUUGUCCUUUACCACUUCUUUUUUUUCCCCCUUUGUCCGUGGCACUAAUCAUCACCUAACACAGUACUCAUUUUAACUCAGUUAUCUGGUUUGUUGAUUGCAUUUCCUCACUGAAAGUUAACACUUUCAAGUUUCCUUUUCUGCUCCCCACCCCCACAUCGCCCCGCCCUCACCACAGUGUGGUUUCUCCAGCACCUGAAAGAUUGCCUGGUAAGUAAAUGAUACUUAAUAACCACUUACUGAGUGAAUAAAGGCUUCUUUAUUUUUUCAAAUAGCUUCAUGGAAAAUGUUCUCCAAACCUCCUUAAGACCUUCAUUCCAGUGAGCCCAAACUUUUCCUCUAGGCAAUCAGAGUUGUAACGGGGAAAACCUCUGGCAAACCUAAAGCCUCUGGUGGACUCAGCCAUCUGCCCACACCUAGCAAAGCUGGACAAACAAAGAGAACUGUUGCCAUGUGUAAAGCAAGAUCAUCGACCUCAAGGGCUCAUUCAACACCAUCCAACAAUUCUGUCACACUUUGCUGCACAAUAAAAGGGCUCCCACAAUUUUAAGGCAUCAAAUGGAAUUGUUUAGCUCACACAUAUUGUCAAAGUUACACAGAGAGGAAAACUCAGGUUGGUUCCAAAGGAAAACUCUUCUACUGAAAACGUAAAGGGGUUAGAAGCCUUCCCAAAGAUAAGAGACUUUGUGGUGAUGUGAUGGGCCAAAUCCCCCCAGGAUUUCUGUGUUGACACCUAAUCCCUAGUGUGGUGGUAUUUGGAGGUGGAGCCUUUGGAGUGUAAUUAGGUUGGGAGGGUGGAGCCUUCCUGGAUGGGAUUAGUGCCUUUGUUAAGACGAGACCAGAGAGCCAGCUUGCUCCUUUUCCAGCAUGUGAGGACACGGAAGCCUGCAAUCCUCACCCCACAAGAGGGCUUUUACCAGAACUCCACUGUGCUGGCACCAUAGUCUCAUAUUUCCAGCCUCCAGAGCUCUGAGAAAAAAAGAAUUCUGUUGUUGAUAAGCCAUCUUAAUGUAUGGUAUUUUGUGAUAGCAGCUCAAGCUGACUGAGACCGAUAACCAAACUGAUACAUGGAAAGUAACAUGAAGAUUUUACAAGCAGGAGUUUUCCAAAGGCUCAAGAACACUUCAAAAAAUUCAAGCAGCUUAAAGAGAAACGCUAUGAUACACUGUAAUAUAAAUAAGUGUAUUCUAUUGAGAGGAGGCUCAGAAAAUACUAUUUUUCAAUCCUUUCAAAUGAACAGGAUGCUCUUCUCUCCUACUUUGUGAGUAUGGUGACUAUUUACUCUUCAACGACUAAUAUUUUUCUUUCAUGUCUAAACUUUGUGAACUAGGCCUGUUGAGAUCCUAGAGAUCCAGGUAGAGGUUUCAGGGAGUUGGGAACCAGCUACAAAAAUGAUCAGAUAAAUUAGCAAAAAAACCAAAAACAAAACAAACAAGCAAAAAACCCCUAGAAGAUUCUUUCCUUUAAAAUCUUUGUUGUUAUUUUGAAAAUUAUAAAUGUAAUGUUAGCAUUAGUUUUGUAAACUAUGUUAUUAGUAUUUUAUUUUGUUGAAAUCAAUUAUUGAAUGCCAUGGCAUGUAGCUAUAUAUAUAUAUAUAUUUAGGAAGCACACACGUGAUAUAUUACUAUGUCAAGUCAGUGAGGGGAGGGUUGUUCAUUGCUUUAUACCUGAUUCCCAGAGCAGUGCCUGGCUCGUAGUAGAUGUGUCAUGAUUUAACAAAAUAAAGUUAGUUAAUCUUUGUCA